UCACACUACACCCACACAUCAGUCGCUGCGCUGCAAAGUGUUCCAAUAUUUAUUGCUAAAAUGCUGUGAAAAUCCAUAUAAUUGUUAAAAUUUAUGCUCAAUCGUACGCACCGGAUGGCCGCGGAGGCGUGCGCAGUGGAAUUCGUGUGCAACUUGGCCGAAAAUGCAGCGAGUAACAGACGCGAAAAACGAUGAAAUCUAGUCAACCGAAUUUUGUGAAUGGGUGGAAAAGAGACGGAAGAGGGGCGCAAACGAAAAACGCAAAUAAAAAGUGACACGCAGAAACAGCUAAAGUGCAAUUUAUUUAAAUAUAUGUACUAGAGAUCUGGUCGAAAUAUAAAUACGAGUGACACAAAACAAAUCAUCGAAAAGUCAAGUGUGUGUGUUUGUGUCGGAGUCUCUCUCUCUCUAUCUCUCUCUCUCCCCCUAUACUUUGUUGUUGUUGCAUUGGUGGGGUUGAAAAGCCAUUGCCUGCAUAACGGUUAACGCGUGACGUACGACCCAAGCAGCAGUCAAGUGCACCGCCCCCCGCACCACCCCACCCUUCACCCACAAACCUCCCCAAAAGAUUGAAACCCCCUUUAUAAAGAGAUAGAGAGAUCUUUGGAUCCCACAUAAACCCCAUUCAUCAUGAUGGACAACGAUGAUGCCCUGCUCAACAAUGGAGGACCACAGUCUGGGGCAGAAACGGUCUACGGAACCGAGGACAACAACAUGGUCAUGUCGGAGAAGAAUGAACAGGUUGUCAGCAUCGUCCAACAACUGGCGGGUAGCAUUUAUCAGGAGUUCGAGCGGAUGAUCAAUCGCUAUGACGAGGAUGUGGUUAAGAACCUGAUGCCGCUGCUGGUGAACGUGCUGGAGUGCCUGGAUGCCUCGUAUCGCAUUAAUCAGGAGCAGGACGUGGAGGUGGAGCUGCUGCGCGAGGACAACGAGCAGCUGGUGACACAAUAUGAGCGGGAAAAGAGCGCCCGCAAGCAGUCCGAACAGAAGCUAUUGGAGGCCGAGGACCUGGCCGAGCAGGAGAACAAGGAGCUGGCCACGCGUCUGGAGUCGGUGGAGAGCAUUGUGCGGAUGCUGGAGUUGAAGCACAAAAACAGUCUGGAGCAUGCCAGCCGCUUGGAAGAGCGGGAAGCGGAUCUCAAGAAGGAGUACAACAAACUGCACGAGCGUUACACGGAGCUGUUCAAGAACCAUGUUGACUACAUGGAACGCACCAAGAUGCUGAUGGGCUCGACGCACUCUCAAAUGAGCACCGCCUCCGAUCGCAUGGAUGUAAGUCGGGCGAGGCUAAAUCCCGUGGCUCGCAGCUCGGGACCCGUUUCCUAUGGUUUCGCCUCGCUGGAGAACUCGGUGAUGCUCGACACCGAGACCAUUUGCAGUGUGGGUAGCCAGUCCGACGACUCUGGGCCGCCGUCGCUGCAAAAUGAGCUGGACAAUCUGAGCGGAACGGUGGAACGUGGAGCUGCCACCGAUGCACUGCAGCAGCAGCACCAGGCCACCUCGCCCCAGAGCCCCGACAGCAGUCCCGUUGUGCCAAAUGUGCCCACAAAUGUUGGUCGUUCGACCACCAAAAAGGAGCAGCGCUCGGAUAACAAUCUCUACCAAGAGUUGUCCUUCCAGGAUAAUGAGGAGAGCGAAGAGAAUGAGAUUGUCACAGGCAGCUGGGUUCAUCCCGGAGAGUAUGCGUCCUCAGCUAACGACAACUAUUUUGGCAUGGGCAAGGAGGUGGAAAAUCUCAUAAUGGAAAACAAUGAGCUGCUGGCCACCAAAAAUGCGCUCAAUAUUGUCAAGGACGAUUUAAUCGUGAAAGUGGAUGAGCUUACUGGAGAGGUUGAAAUCGUUCGCGAGGAGCUCAAUGCCAUGCAACAAUCGAGGACCAAGUUGAGGCAGCGCAUCAGCGAGCUGGAGGAUGAGCUAAAAAAGGCCAAGGAGCAGGUCAAGCAGCAAAACACCGAGCAAGAGGAGAACGAUGUGCCGCUGGCCCAGCGCAAGAGAUUCACCCGCGUGGAGAUGGCCAUGGUGCUGAUGGAGCGUAACCAGUACAAGGAGCGCUUGAUGGAGCUGCAGGAGGCAGUGCGUCUCACAGAAAUACUCCGAGCCUCACGCACCGUAGAUAAUUUGGACAGGAAGUCAAAACAGAGCAUUUGGAAGUACUUUAGUAAUCUUUUUACCCCCUCCAACCGCCCAACGGAACGCGUUGCGGACGGUCUCGGAGGGGGGCCGAUGUUUCGUCAUACCGGCGGAGGAAGCCCUGCCCACAGCCACGGAUCCCCCAGCCGAGGAGGUGGAGGUGGCGACAAUCGCCUUGCCCUAACCAGCGGCCAGCCGCCAGUGCAUCCGGCCAGCGCUGGUCUUGCCAACGCCCUCAUCAUGCCGAAAGACUACGGCGAGGAGGGCAGCUCCGAGAGGAUCAGUGCGAGGAGGCGGGAACAGUACCGCCAGCUUCGCGCCCAUGUCCAAAAGGAGGAUGGCCGUCUGCACGCCUACGGUUGGAGUUUGCCGAUUAACAAGGCCAGCCAGGAGGCGAAUCCCAAUCGUCAUUCGGGUGGUGUACCCGUUCCCGUCUACUGUAAUCCCCUGGCGGAGGCCUCGCCGCACAUGAAGGUGUUCUGUGCGGCGGGCGUAAAUCUCCACGGGGGCUUCACAAAGAAUGGGCAAUCACUGAUACCUGCCAACUCACCAUAUGCUCCGAAAUCUACACUCAAGAUAGCUGAGAUAACCAGUCCGACGGCUGAUCAGAGCAUGGAGGCGUUGGACAGACAGAUGGCCAGGGUCAGCCUGGAGACGCUGGAGCCCGAGACGCAGCUCAGUUCGUUCGUGUGGAUCUGCACAAGCACACAUGCGGCCAGUACGGUCAGUGUUGUGGAUGCCAAUCAAUCGGCCACAGUUCUGGAUGCUUUCCCCAUCUGCGCAUCGCAUUUGCUUUGCAUUGCCUCCGUCCAAGGAGCGAUGGAGAGUGACUAUGCGCUCCUGGAGCAGUCAGAGGUGGUCAAGGCGGGCGAGAUGUUGCAGCGACCAGGCGAGGGUGCGGAGUUACUUGGCAAAGUGGAGUUUGUCCGGGUCAAGCCCAAGUCGGAGGAUGAGCAAAACAGCAAUGCCAAGCAGCAGCAGCAGGAGGAGGAGGAGGCCAAGGAAGCCACGGAAAAGUCAAACGAGCAGCUUCCGGCGGUGAGUGCCGAAGAGCCACUUGGCAAUGUGGAGGCCAUUAAAAUACGCCAGGCACUCCCUGGUGCACCACAGCGCCUCUCCACGGACGGCAACCAGACAAACAACAACAAUAACUCGAGCAGCAAUCUUUUGUUUGCCACCAAGUCGCUAAAUCCCAUACUGGAGACCAAGGAUCGGGAUGAACCGGCAAUGAGCUCGGUGGGUCCCACGAUGUGGUUGGGCGCCCAAGAUGGCAUGCUGUACGUGCACAGCAGCGUGGGAAGGUGGCACGAGUGCCUGCACCAGGUUCUUCUGCCGGACGCUGUGCUGGCGAUUGUGCAUGUCGAGGCGAGGGUCGUUGUGGCGCUGGCCAAUGCCCAACUAGCAGUGUUCCGCCGCCAAACAGACGGCCAAUGGGAUCUGAAUAGCUAUCACCUGGUGACGCUCGGUGAUCGCAACCAUUCGAUACGUUGCCUCUGUGUGGCCGGCGAACGCAUUUGGGCGGCGCACCGCAACAAGAUCUUUAUAGUUGACCCCGUAUCGCUCAACAUUGUGCACUCGCUGGACGCGCAUCCGCGCAAGGAGAGCCAGGUGCGCCAGAUGGCGGCCACGGGAGCGGGUGUCUGGGUGUCCAUCAGACUGGACUCCACGCUGCGGCUGUACAACACGCACACGUUCGAGCACAAGCAGGACGUGGACAUUGAGCCGUAUGUUUCCAAGAUGCUCGGCACCGGCAAGCUGGGCUUUAGCUUCGUCCGCAUCACCGCGCUGAUGGUGUCCUGCAACCGUCUGUGGAUUGGCACCAGCAACGGCGUGAUUAUCUCGGUGCCACUGGCCGAAGUGCAACCGAAAUCGUCAUCCGAUCCUCAUGGUCAGAUGCCGCUCUGUUGCAUGGCCAACGCUCAACUCUCCUUCCACGGCCACCGGGAUGCGGUCAAGUUCUUCGUUUCGGUGCCCAUGCUGCAGCAGCCGAACAUGAACGGCGGACUGACCUUCAGCAACAAGCGACCCGAUAUGCUGGUCAUGUGCGGCGGCGAGGGCUACAUCGAUUUUCGCAUAAGACAUGAUAAGUUCGAUGCUAGUGAUAAUGCAGCGCACUUGAUAGUUUGGAAAGUCGAUACAACGUUCAAUCUGUAGCAGGAUGGGAUCCCAAAAGUGGAUUGCAGCAUUUCCUCAGCCGUGACCUGAACUGAACUAGACCGCUAAGCAGACGAUAACGACAUGGAGAACAGUAUUCAACUGGAACCAAAUCAAACGAUCGAAAAUCGAGGCGAUAAGAGUUACUUGAUUGUGUGGCAUGUUAGUCAACGUUAAAACCGAUUCUUUGGUUUAAGUGCAAAUGAAUAUUUAUAAAAGUUAUAUGAAUACAUAUAUAAUCUUAUAAUACGAUGUGUAACUCCACAACUGCAGGCUAGCGAAAAGAUUACCUUAAAUUUUAGUAUUUAUCUAACCUACCUUAAAAACUACCACGAUGACAAACUGGGUUCUAUAAAAUAAUUUAGUUAAACAAUUUUCAAAUUUGAGCCGCGAGGCUUCCUCUAUUGUUUCUUAUUGCUUCGAUUAAACCAAAAAUAAGACCUGCAAAGUUAUUUGUCAGUGAUAGCCAGCUAAAUAUUUCGAGAUAUAUAUAUAUAAUAAAGUGUAAUAAGAUUUAAAUUUGUAAAUUUUAUGCGCUCUGCUGGCAGCAAGUUAUGUAUUUUGCAUAGACACAAAAAACACCACAUUUACAUUUAAAUAUAAAUAUAAAUAUAUCUAAACAUGAUAUAGGAAAGUGCGCCUUUUCAAGGGAAUUUCUGCGUGAUUCUUUGUCCAAAUAUGUAGUAGAAUCUUAAUUUCAUGUAUCUAUAUUUUUAUUUUAUUGUAAAGCGCGAUAUUGAGCAAUUUAUGUUUAGUUAUUUUGUUAAAUAAUUUUAAACUUUAGUUGAAAAAUUUUAAACCUUAACUUUCAUUGUUAUUCAUUUCUUUGUAAGCCUAUGUUUAAAAAUAAAACAAAACUGACCAAAA